UUGCGGUUAAAAAGCUCGUAGUUGGAUUUCUGCUGAGGACGACCAGUCCGCCCUCUGGGUGAGUAUCUGGCUCGGCCUUGGCAUCUUCUUGGGGAACGUAACUGCACUUGACUGUGUGGUGCGGUAUCCAGGACUUUUACUUUGAGGAAAUUAGAGUGUUUCAAGCAGGCGCACGCCUUGAAUACAUUAGCAUGGAAUAAUAAGAUAGGACCUUGGUUCUAUUUUGUUGGUUUCUAGAGCUGAGGUAAUGAUUAAUAGGGAUAGUUGGGGGCAUUCGUAUUUAACUGUCAGAGGUGAAAUUCUUGGAUUUGUUAAAGACGGACUACUGCGAACGCAUUUGCCAAGGAUGUUUUCAUUGAUC
rnacentral:rRNA from 1 species